rnacentral:rRNA from 1 species
AGAGUUCGAUCAUGGCUCAGAACGAACGCUGGCGGCAGGCCUAACACAUGCAAGUCGAGCGCGCCUUCGGGCGAGCGGCGGACGGGUUAGUAACGCGUGGGAACGUGCCCAGAUCUACGGAAUAGCCACUGGAAACGGUGAGUAAUACCGUAUACGCCCUUCGGGGGAAAGAUUUAUCGGAUUUGGAUCGGCCCGCGUUAGAUUAGGUAGUUGGUGGGGUAACGGCCUACCAAGCCUACGAUCUAUAGCUGGUUUUAGAGGAUGAUCAGCAACACUGGGACUGAGACACGGCCCAGACUCCUACGGGAGGCAGCAGUGGGGAAUCUUGGACAAUGGGGGAAACCCUGAUCCAGCCAUGCCGCGUGAGUGAAGAAGGCCCUAGGGUCGUAAAACUCUUUCGCCUGUGAUGAUAAUGACAGUAGCAGGUAAAGAAACCCCGGCUAACUCCGUGCCAGCCGCCGCGGUAAUAC